UUAGAUCAUAAGGGGUGCCCUAAAAUCACGGGCUGAGAUCAUACCCAUAUUACCUGAUCCGGGUAGUGCCGGCGAAGGGAGAUGAACAAACAGAGUA
rnacentral:ncRNA from 2 species